UACGUAGGGGGCGAGCGUUGUCCGGAGUUACUGGGCGUAAAGCGCUUGUAGGCGGUCCACCAAGUUUGGGGUGACAGUUGCCGACUUAAUCGGCAAAGUGCCUCAAAGACUGGCGGACUUGAGGGCCACAGAGGGACAUGGAACUCCAGGUGUAGUGGUGAAAUGCGUAGAUAUCUGGAAGAACACCAAAGGCGAAGGCAGUGUCCUGGGUGGUCGCUGACGCUGAGAGGCGAAAGCUAGGGUAGCAAACAGG
rnacentral:rRNA from 1 species